UUCGUGUAUAGUCAUGUUUCUCUCUCUGCGGACUCUCUCUUUCUCUUUCUCUCUCUCCUGUUCGAGCUCCUCUUCCCGGAAACCCAACGGUGGCAGCGGCGGCGCAGCAGCUUGGCGACAAGGUCUCCAUCGGCAAAGACGGAUCGGCGGUGGGAAAAGCAUGGCGGCAACGGAUCUGACGACGAUGAGACUGACCGCGUCCCUCUCUUCCUCGCGGGUCCUCCUCCCUCUCGGCGACCAUGAUGGCGGCACGGAAAAACGCUAACGGCAGCGACAUUCCUCCAACUUCCUUCAACUCGCAGACUUCCUCUUUCUCUUGGGUUGACGUCGAUGGCGACUUGGCAGCGGCAGAACUUCGGUGGCGAGGCGUGGAGGCAGCAACCCUUUCCGCCGUUCUCUCUUUUUUUUCUGUGUGGGUGUAUUUGUGUAUGGUGUGAGUUUUGAAAAGAAGGAGGGGCUGUGGUUGAUGAGGAAGAGUGGAAGUUGUUUAGUAAUUUAGGGUUAGGAUUGGGUAGGAGGAAUAAGGGUACUGCUGGAAUUUUGAUAAAAUUAAAGGGUAGGAUAGUAA